rnacentral:rRNA from 1 species
ACAUGCAGAGAACUUUCCAGAGAUGGAUUGGUGCCUUCGGGAACUCUGACACAGGUGCUGCAUGGCUGUCGUCAGCUCGUGUCGUGAGAUGUUGGGUUAAGUCCGUAACGAGCGCAACCCUUGUCCUUAGUUACCAGCACGUUAUGGUGGGCACUCUAAGGAGACUGCCGGUGGACAAACCGGAGGAAGGUGGGGGAUGACGUCAAGUCAUCAUGGCCCUUACGGCCUGGGCUACACACGUGCUACAAUGGUCGGUACAAAGGGUUGCCAAGCCGCGAGGUGGAGCUAAUCCCAUAAAACCGAUCGUAGUCCGGAUCGCAGUCUGCAACUCGACUGCGUGAAGUCGGAAUCGCUAGUAAUCGUGAAUCAGAAUGUCACGGUGAAUACGUUCCCGGGCCUU